GAGUGUGAUCAUUCUUGCACUAUGCAUCGGAUCCCAUCAAAACUUUACAGUUAAGUGGACUUGGACGAGAGUAGUACUAAGUUGGGUGACUACUUGGGAAGUCCUCGUAUUGCACCCC
rnacentral:rRNA from 1 species